AUUGAACGCUGGCGGCAUGCUUUACACAUGCAAGUCGGACGGCAGCGCGGGCUUCGGCCUGGCGGCGAGUGGCGAACGGGUGAGUAAUACAUCGGAACGUGCCCAGUAGUGGGGGAUAGCCCGGCGAAAGCCGGAUUAAUACCGCAUACGAUCUGAGGGUGAAAGCGGGUGACUUUAGGGCCUCGCGCUCUUGGAGCGGCCGAUGGCAGAUUAGCUAGUUGGUGGGGUAUAGGCCUACCAAGGCGACGAUCUGUAGCUGGUCUGAGAGGACAACCAGGCAGACUGGGACUGAGACACGGCCCAGACUCCUACGGGAGGCAGCAGUGGGGAAUUUUGGACAAUGGGCGCAAGCCUGAUCCAGCAAUGCCGCGUGUGUGAUGAUGGCCUUCGGGUUGUAGAACACUUUUGGCAGGAACGAAAAGUGCCGUGCUAAUACCACGGUACGAUGACGGUACCUGCAGAAUAAGCGCCGGCUAACUACGUG
rnacentral:rRNA from 1 species